rnacentral:rRNA from 1 species
UACGUAGGGUGCAAGCGUUAAUCGGAAUUACUGGGCGUAAAGCGUGCGCAGGCGGUUGUGCAAGACAGAGGUGAAAUCCCCGGGCUUAGCCUGGGAAUGGCCUUUGUGACUGCACGGCUAGAGUGUGUCAGAGGGGGGUAGAAUUCCACGUGUGAGCAGUGAAAUGCGUAGAGAUGAUGGAGGAAUACCGAUGGCGAAGGCAGCCCCCUGGGAUAACACUGACGCCUGCAGGC